rnacentral:rRNA from 1 species
CACGUAAGGGGCAAGCGUUGUUCGGAAUUAUUGGGCGUAAAGGGCGCGUAGGCGGUCUUGUAAGCCUGGCGUGAAAUCCUGGAGCUUAACUCCAGAACUGCGUUGGGAACCGCGAGACUUGAAUCAUGGAGGGGAAACCAGAAUUCCAGGUGUAGGGGUGAAAUCUGUAGAUAUCUGGAAGAAUACCGGUGGCGAAGGCGGGUUUCUAGCCAAUGAUUGACGCUGAGGCGCGAAAGUGCGGGGAGCAAACAGGAUUAGAUACCCUGGUAGUCCGCACUAUAAACGAUGUACACUAGGUGUUGGGCCGAGCGGUUCAGUGCCGAAGCUAACGUGAUAAGUGUACCGCCUGGGGAGUAUGCCCGCAAGGGUGAA